AUUGAACGCUGGCGGCAUGCCUUACACAUGCAAGUCGAACGGCAGCACGGGUGCUUGCACCUGGUGGCGAGUGGCGAACGGGUGAGUAAUACAUCGGAACAUGUCCUGUAGUGGGGGAUAGCCCGGCGAAAGCCGGAUUAAUACCGCAUACGAUCUACGGAUGAAAGCGGGGGACCUUCGGGCCUCGCGCUAUAGGGUUGGCCGAUGGCUGAUUAGCUAGUUGGUGGGGUAAAGGCCUACCAAGGCGACGAUCAGUAGCUGGUCUGAGAGGACGACCAGCCACACUGGGACUGAGACACGGCCCAGACUCCUACGGGAGGCAGCAGUGGGGAAUUUUGGACAAUGGGCGAAAGCCUGAUCCAGCAAUGCCGCGUGUGUGAAGAAGGCCUUCGGGUUGUAAAGCACUUUUGUCCGGAAAGAAAUCCUUGGCUCUAAUAUAGUCGGGGGAUGACGGUACCGGAAGAAUAAGCACCGGCUAACUACGUG
rnacentral:rRNA from 1 species